CCCGGCUUCGUAGCGCUGCGCUGGCCGGGCCAGCCCCACGCUCCCCUCAGCCUGUGCCGGCCCACGGCCGUACUCCGCCGGGGGGAACGCUGGGGACUGGUGAAGCGCGGCCCUUUGUUUCCCUGCCGGUCGGAUACAGUCCGUUCCGCGGGGAAGGGCUGUUUUACCGUUCAUCGCCUAAUUUACCAGAGAGCAGUUACUAUACAGAAGACUUAUUUCUCACUUUCCCUAUCAACCACUGAGAAGAUGGAUGUGUAUGAGACCAUAGUAUGUAGGUAGCUAUCCUCAAAGACUCCAUUUUUAAGUAAUGUGGAUAGGUACCUCAGACACUGGUGAAACACUCACAUGGAAUGGUGACAGGCACCCCUUCUGGACUGCUACACAAAGGUGCAAGCCAAAUGGAUCGGCUGAUGUGAUUCUCCACAAUGCAAUCCUUCUAUUACUCCUAGGGGGAUUCUGUGCCACUGUGCAAUGCAGAAUUUUGCAGAAAUUAACGUGUGCACAGAGUUUCCUUUCCCUCACAGAAAUGGACUGCAGUGCUGCUGGAUGCCACUAAGGGCUGCUGGAUCCAGCAGAGCCCAGUUCACACAUAG